rnacentral:rRNA from 1 species
AAGUAGGGGAUCGCAAGACCUUGCGCUUUUGGAGCGGCCGAUGCCUGAUUAGCUAGUUGGUAGGGUAAUGGCCUACCAAGGCGACGAUCAGUAGUUGGUCUGAGAGGACGACCAGCCACACUGGGACUGAGACACGGCCCAGACUCCUACGGGAGGCAGCAGUGGGGAAUUUUGGACAAUGGGCGAAAGCCUGAUCCAGCAAUGCCGCGUGAGUGAAGAAGGCCUUCGGGUUGUAAAGCUCUUUCAGUCGAGAAGAAAAGGUUGUGACUAAUAAUCACAACUCAUGACGGUAUCGACAGAAGAAGCACCGGCUAACUACGUGCCAGCAGCCGCGGUAAUACGUAGGGUGCGAGCGUUAAUCGGAAUUACUGGGCGUAAAGGGUGCGCAGGCGGCUUUGUAAGUCAGAUGUGAAAUCCCCGGGCUUAACCUGGGAAUUGCGUUUGAAACUACAAAGCUAGAGU